CGCCUUCCGCACCAAACCCACUCUGCCGAAACCUUCGUCACUUGAGGAGUUUUCGUUGAAACCUUCGUCGCUCAAAAACGUCCUUCGGCGAAACCUUCACCACCCAACAAGCCCUCUCUUCCCUCUUUUCGACGCUCUCACUCUUUUCAUCCUCAACCCCAACCACAACCCUAGUCUCGACUGGCCCCUUCGGUCCGCUGGAUCCUUUCUCUAUUCUUCAACCCCUCGAGAUUGUUCUUUGGUAAGGGGAGGGAAUUAGGGUAUCAAGUAUGAUGGAGGGCGAAAAGGGAUCCGGCCUAUGACGACGGAGGAGGAAGUGCUGAAGAAGAAUAUUGACUGCAUGUACUUCUUAGCUUCUCCAUCGACUUGCAAAAAGAUUUGUGUGUUGGGCUUCUUAGACAAGCUACAUAUACAACUUAAAUGCUUGGAUCAUUAAAUUCAUGAAGGGCCUUGAAAAUGUAUAUUGCGGAGGCGGGAAGGAAAGAGAAAAAACAACCAACAUGGGAAGUUGUCAAGGCUCCUCGACAACUGGAUGCGGAGCAAUGUGAUUUUUAUAUCAUGCGAUAUAUGAAAGAUAUAAUUGAAAAUUUUGGAGUUGGCCACAAGAAUUCACUUCCAUCAAUGUUUACAAAUAUCAAGUACUCUAUAGUUGAAAUUGAUGAAGUGCGGUUCGAGUGGACUUAGUGCAUGCUAGAUUACAUUUGAGUAGGAAAGGUAUUUGAUUUUUGGAAGCUUUGGAGGAUGUAUGCAUUUUCAUGGAAUGUAAUAUGUGAAUAUUAACUUGAUGUGUAUCCCUAUAAUAUAUAUUAGCUUUUUUUAUGUUGCAAGAAGAAUAUUUAUAUAUUGGUUACAUCGGUGGAUAUUGACUUGGUGCAUUUAAAUAUAUCGGUACAUUUUUAUU